UUCACAAGGGGCAGCUGGGGGCCGUUGCUCUCCCCACCAAGGGUGACCUGGGGUCUUUCUGCAGCUCUGACACCCCCUCCCCAUCACCUCCCUGGAAUUCCAGCGAGGGGAUUUGUCUGGAGCUGGGGUUGGGUUUCGCCCGCCACUCCCUCGCCCACCCCCCACUCCAGGGCCCUUUUCUCCCCCCCCCCAACCACCAGCUCAGCCGCCGCCCCCGCCCGGAGACGAAGCGCUGCCGCAUUGGCAGGCAGGCUGGCGGUGCGCGCACGCGGGGGCUGCUGAGGCGGGCUGGCUGGCUGGCUCGCGCCUCUCUCUGUCUUGCAGGGCGCUCCUGCCGCCGCCACUGAAGCCCGCCGGGGGACUUCAGCACCGAGGACAGCGCCGCGGCCGGCCCCGGCGUGGGCAAUGGGCGGCUGGGGCUGGGGCUGGGGCUGGGGCUGCCGCUGCUGCCGCUGAGCGGGCGAGUCCAUGAGCGCCAUGCGGCUGCUGCUGCUCGGGGUGCUGGUCUCCUUCUCCUUCGCCCGCGCCGGCUGCGAGCCCAAGAUCGUCAACAUCGGCGCGGUGCUGAGCACCAAGAAGCAUGAGCAGGUCUUCCGCGAGGCCAUCAACCAGGCCAACAAGCGCCACGGCACCUGGAAGAUCCAGCUCAACGCCACCUCGGUCACGCACAAGCCCAACGCCAUCCAGAUGGCCCUCUCCGUCUGCGAGGACCUCAUCUCCAGCCAGGUCUAUGCCAUCCUAGUCAGCCAUCCACCGGCCCCCAACGACCACCUGACUCCGACGCCCGUGUCAUACACCGCUGGAUUCUAUAGGAUUCCUGUCAUUGGGUUGACAACACGCUUGUCCAUCUAUUCAGACAAGAGUAUCCACUUGUCCUUCCUGCGCACUGUCCCUCCUUACUCUCACCAGUCCAAUGUGUGGUUUGAAAUGAUGCGUUUCUACAAAUGGAACCACAUCAUCCUCAUCGUCAGCGAUGACCACGAGGGCCGGGCUGCCCAAAAGAAGCUGGAGACCCUCUUGGAAGAGAAAGAAUCCAAGAGUAAAAAAAGGAACUAUGAAAACCUCGAACAACUAUCCUAUGACAACAAGCGAGGACCCAAGGCUGAGAAAGUGCUGCAGUUUGAGCCUGGAACAAAAAACGUGACUUCGCUGCUGUUGGAGGCAAAGGAACUGGAGGCCCGCGUCAUCAUCCUCUCUGCCAGUGAGGAUGAUGCUACAACAGUGUACACAGCAGCAGCUAAAGAAAACAUGACCGGCCCAGGCUAUGUGUGGCUGGUGGGGGAGAGAGAGAUCUCGGGCAAUGCCUUGCGCCACGCCCCAGAAGGCCUGAUUGGUUUGCAGCUCAUGAAUGGGAAGAAUGAGUCUGCUCACAUCAGGGAUGCGGUGGCUGUGGUGGCUCAGGCGGUGCACGAUUUGUUCGAGAAGGAGAACAUUACUGAUCCGCCCAGGGGCUGCGUGGGAAACACCAACAUCUGGAAGACUGGGCCUUUGUUCAAGAGGGUGCUGAUGCAGACCAAAUAUGCAGACGGCGUGACUGGCAGGGUGGAGUUCAAUGAGGACGGGGACAGGAAGUAUGCCAACUACAGUGUCAUGAAUCUGCAGAACAACAAACUGGUGCAAGUUGGAGUCUACAAUGGUAGCCACUUCCUGCCCAAUGACCGCAAGAUCAUCUGGCCUGGAGGAGAAACAGAGACGCCACAGGGCUACGAAAUGUCGACCAAACUAAAGAUAGUCACAAUUCACCAGGAGCCGUUUGUCUACGUCAAGCCGACCUUGGCAGAUGGGAAAUGCAAACCCCUCCUCAACAGCACAGGGGGGUUGGUGCAGCAGGUCCUUUGCACUGGUCCAAACGAAACCAUGCCAGGGCGCCCCAGCGUCAUGCUGUGCUGCUACGGCUUCUGCAUCGACUUACUGAUCAAGCUGGCCAAGACCAUGAAUUUCACCUACGAAGUUCACCUUGUGGGCGAUGGGAAAUUCGGCACCCAAGAGCGGGUGAACAACAGCAACAAGAAGGAGUGGAACGGGAUGAUGGGGGAGCUGCUGAGCGGCCAGGCGGACAUGAUCGUGGCCCCGCUGACCAUCAACAACGAGCGGGCGCAGUACAUUGAGUUCUCCAAGCCUUUCAAGUACCAGGGACUCACCAUUUUAGUCAAAAAGGAAAUCCCCCGCAGCACCCUGGACUCGUUCAUGCAGCCCUUCCAGAGUACUCUGUGGCUCCUGGUGGGGCUUUCGGUGCAUGUGGUGGCCGUGAUGUUAUAUCUCCUCGACCGGUUCAGCCCGUUUGGCCGGUUCAAAGUGAACAGCGAGGAGGAGGAGGAGGACGCUCUGACUCUUUCUUCUGCGAUGUGGUUUUCCUGGGGAGUCCUCCUGAACUCUGGCAUUGGAGAAGGUGCUCCCAGGAGUUUCUCAGCUCGAAUCCUAGGCAUGGUGUGGGCUGGAUUUGCCAUGAUCAUCGUUGCCUCCUACACUGCCAACCUGGCUGCCUUCCUGGUGUUGGACAGGCCUGAGGAGCGCAUCACGGGCAUCAAUGACCCCAGGCUGCGCAAUCCCUCUGAUAAGUUCAUCUAUGCCACAGUGAAGCAGAGUUCUGUGGACAUUUAUUUCCGGCGGCAGGUAGAGCUGAGCACCAUGUACCGGCACAUGGAGAAACACAAUUAUGAGAGCGCUGCUGAAGCCAUCCAGGCUGUCCGAGACAACAAGCUCCACGCGUUCAUCUGGGACUCGGCGGUGCUGGAGUUUGAAGCCUCACAGAAGUGUGACCUGGUGACCACGGGGGAGCUGUUCUUCCGCUCCGGCUUUGGCAUCGGGAUGCGCAAAGAUAGCCCCUGGAAGCAGAACGUCUCCCUGGCCAUCCUCAACCACCAUGAGAACGGCUUCAUGGAAGAGCUUGACAAGACUUGGGUGAGGUAUCAGGAGUGCGAUUCCCGUAGCAAUGCCCCAGCAACGCUCACCUUUGAGAACAUGGCAGGUGUAUUCAUGCUGGUGGCUGGAGGUAUUGUGGCCGGGAUAUUUUUAAUAUUCAUAGAAAUAGCUUACAAAAGGCAUAAAGACGCCCGGAGGAAGCAGAUGCAACUGGCGUUUGCGGCCGUGAAUGUGUGGCGGAAAAACCUGCAGUCCUCUCUCUCUCUUGUGGCCGUAGGAUUCACCUUCAGAAAAGGCCCCGAGCAUUUUUAUUUAGUGGAUAGAAAAAGUGGUAGAGCAGAACCAGAAUCUAAAAAGAAAGCCACAUUUAGGUCCAUCACUUCUACCCUGGCCUCCAGCUUCAAGAGACGUAGGUCAUCCAAAGAUACGACAGCCCCGCGAUGUCACCACGCCCAGAAUCCGUGAGCUGCAGAUAGCCCUGUAGAGAAUCCCCGGCUUCAGGAGCUGCUCAGCACAGGCAGUAUCAUCCCACUGACAUCACUGGGCAGCUCAACCUCUCCGACCCCUCGGUCAGCACCGUGGUGUGACAUCUGGGUGCCAUCACCACCGGGCCGACUCCAAAGGGACAAACCAAUGGAGACUCUGAUGGGUCCUUCCUAGAGACACAGAGCGUCCAUCCGCCCGCAGCGUCUACAUUGCUUUCUCGCCCCCGUUGUCCUUGCUUUCCUGCCCCUGGAAUCCUGCUCUUCCUAGGCCAGGUGACAUCCUGGGGCAUCGGGGUGAACCUAUAGAACACGAGGCCUUGGAGCAGCCAGACCCCUUAGAGUGGGCAGCCUCCACAUGCUGAUCUUGGCAACGUCAACAGAGAAGGCGACUCCAAGUGGCACGUCGGCCGUGCGAGGGUGGACCGCACACUCCUAUCCAGCGGACUUGGGUUCCUUUGCCGUGAGGAGAGAGUCUGUAUCAUAUAUGCAUGUGCGGACCUUCAUACGUCUACUUUCUCCCACAUUUUCUACACCACGUAAGAGGACUGGAGGGGCGUUCAUGCUCAUGGGUCAUUGUACAUAGCAAAGAAAAUGUCCAUCUCUGCCUCAACCAUCCGUCAUCCAGAGAGGAAGCUUUAAUAGCGAUAGGACACAUGAUGCUCUCUCUGGCUGUAGUUGGCAUGAUCUUGCCCAUAUAACGUUUAUUGACACCCUUGUCCCUUCCCUGGGGAAAUUCUGCUUCCCUGCCUGUUUUCCAAUUUUUUCUGAAAGGACUGUUCUGCUGCCCACCCCACCCAGUUUGGGAGCACAUAUUCAGAAGAGCAGGGAACGUAAAAAACCUAAGGUGAAUGGAGAUCGUCUCCAUUUCCUCUGGCUGAAUUCUGGCUGAAGAUUCUGGGACAUAACUUGGCCACACAGCUUGUACAUCCUGCACGGUCUGGGAAAAUGUAUCUCCUAGAUCCCUGCUCUGGAAAAGUUUGGUUUGUCCAUAAUUAUGGCUGCAGUAGGGUUUCUUACUCAUUGGCUUAACUGACUCAGGGUGGCUUAGAAGAUCUGAUUUAGUCAUCACACUAUGCAGCCUAGCAUGAUGGGAUAUUUAUUUAUGACCGUUAUAUAUAAGCUGACUUUCCAAACACGUUGUCCAAGACAGCCUCCAAAAUAGUCACAAAGACAGCACUCAAGGCUGAGGUUUUAGGCUUAAGGAAGGUUUUAAACACAGUGACCUGCAUCCAGAGCAAAGCUUUUCUCAGUUUUUGCUUUUCUCUGACGCAUGGUUCUAUCAGUUGGGGGGGUUGAGAAGGCAAUUAGCUCCAGCUGCCAAGAUGAUUACCGCCCCACUCAGCAGCGUCCCUCACCGUCCUGUCAGCUGCCCCAUCUCCUGGCUACCUUUGGAAGUGCAAAAGCGACAAAGAGAGGUUUCUCUAGGGUUUGAGAAGCCUCAAGAAGGCACUUUGCGGCUUUGAGUCGCAAGCUGAAUUGCCUUGGUGCUUCCACACCUGGGUGCUUUGCGCUGGCUUCAGUCCACGCGAGCACCCCUUUCACCCCCUCCUGUCCAUGUUGCAAACGUAACAAAAGUGCACCUACCGAUAAAAAAAAGUGGGACGGCAAUGCUACCAGCAGUCCACCCAUGCAGUCACAGAGCAGCUGUACUCCUGUUCUAAAAAGAGAGAUUUUUCUGCUUUAAUAAGCUGACAAGUGCAGGGAAAAUACCAGUAGAGGUAACGGAUGGAGGGCGACCUGGUGUGAAGAGCAGGUGAACCGGCUGUGGCAGUUCUAGACUAAACAUCCCAUUUUAGAAGCAUCCAUGAUGGCUCUGAGCUCUGUGCACUCCACACACAAACCCUUUUUGGCUCUAGGCUUGACUGCAAAAAAUGGGCUGGAACCAGGACUGUGCAAUCCCCCCCCCGGCGCGCCUGCUUCCUGGCUCUGAAGAGACUGAGCAAUGGACCAGGAACUCCACAGUUCAGGCUCUCUCCUCUGCCAUGAAGUGACAUGGGGUGGCCUCAGACAAAGAGCUCCCUUUCAGCCUCAGCUUCCCAGCCGCAAGAUGCGAACAAUAAUACUCGCCUUAGCUGACAGGGUGGCUGGAAGGAUCAAGAAGAUACUAUAAGUAAAGUGCUUUUUAGCCAAAGAUGCCACCAUCUGCAUGCAAAGCUUGUCCCUGAGCUUUGGCCCUUCUGUGUCCCAGCGGCAAGAUAUCUAUCUUGAUCUUUGCUAUUGUAAACCCUUCCAAACUUGGGGAAUUACAUCCGUGAGCCCUGCAAUAUUUAAACUCAGCCAUCUGGUCGGCAGCACCUGCCCAGGUGAUUAAACACCAUACAGGUGCGGUUCCCAAAAGAAAAGUGAUCCGAUGAACCCCUCUCUUCUGGAAAGGGUAGAAGAAAUGACCCCACAGCCGUAGCAUUUUCCACCUUGGAAAAAACCCGUUAACCCAAACCUUACAGCCUUCGGGGUCAGGGUGUGUUGGUCCGCGUCUUUGUCUGACUACUGUGGUUGGCAGGCAUCACAGGUAAGCACCACACUUGUGGUGGAAAACAUCUAAUCCCAGUUAAUGCAGAGGCAAAAUCAAAACAAAAAAGAUGCAGGGGUUUGCUCUUGUGUCCAGGGUAAUCCUAGUGUGUUAGGUUUGCUGCAAAUCUCAGGUUCAAUGCCUCGCACCGCUACACGCGCUCACACACAGGGAGAUCUCUGGGUUGGCUAGCCCUGCUCUCUCCAUCUUCCUUCUUUGCAAGAUGGCAAUAAAAUCAAGGCUGAUCCCAGCACCUCACACCCAUCCGUUGCCACAUUCUGCAGCAACCAAAGCUUCCCAACAGCCAAUGAGGGCAGCCCCCCACGAAACACAUGGCUAUAGUCCAGCAACAGAAUGGAAAUCACCUUCCCUGCUUUUCAGUCUAGUGCAAGCCUUUUUUUUUUAUUGUUCCACUCCUCCCCUGGUGAUGCAUUGUAGAGCAAUGCUAGCCUGGGUUGCCCACUGAAGCGCACUGGGCAUGGGUUAGCUGAACACACCCCAAACCCGCUUUUGUACACACAAAAGGAACGGCAACCAGGUAGCUUUUUUGCUCCUGCCCUUUUGGCCCAUCCCGACAUCUGGAUUCUAAUUCAGGCUCACAGUUCUGAGAGUCGGAUCAGGGAGGGGAGGGGAGGAACUGUUGUUCUUGAUGCAUUAAUCAGGACUUAUUUUUUUAAUAACCUGUGCAGUCUUGUAUACACACCCAGAAUCACACUGGGUUCUUCUGUAAAUAGAUGGGCGUGUGUAAGACAUUUUUAACUGGGCAUCAGUAUCCAAUUGUUAUGAAUAAUAAUCAUGUUUAUUUAUAAACCA